rnacentral:rRNA from 1 species
UACGUAGGGUGCGAGCGUUAAUCGGAAUUACUGGGCGUAAAGCGUGCGCAGGCGGUUUUGUAAGCCAGAUGUGAAAUCCCCGGGCUUAACCUGGGAAUGGCAUUUGGGACUGCAAGGCUUGAGUGUGGCAGAGGAGACUGGAAUUCCUGGUGUAGCAGUGAAAUGCGUAGAUAUCAGGAGGAACACCGAUGGCGAAGGCAGGUCUCCUGGGCUAACACUGACGCUCAU